UCACAUUCUUGGUCAGUAAAAACAAAACAGACCCGGAGACGCCCCGUCAUUUGUUCCCCUGCAUUCACACAGAGUAUCUGUGAUGUCUUUUUUUG